rnacentral:rRNA from 1 species
AUCACUAAGCGGAGGAAAAGAAACUAACAAGGAUUCCCCUAGUAACGGCGAGUGAAGCGGGAAUAGCCCAGCACCGAAUCCCCUGUCGCUGCGGCAGUGUGAACUGUGGUGUUUAGGACGAUCACUGGCGCGUCGUGCCUUCGUCCGAGUCCUCCUGAUCGGGGCCUUUCCCAUAGCGGGUGUCAGGCCUCUAGUCUAGGCGAGGGUCGGCGUGCCUCUAAACGUCCUUGGAGUCGGGUUGUUUGGGAAUGCAGCCCAAAGUGGGUGGUAAACUCCAUCUAAGGCUAAAUACUGACAUGAGACCGAUAGCGGACAAGUACCGUGAGGGAAAGUU